AUGAGUUGGAAUGUGCGCGGGUUAAACUCACCGGCCAAGAGGGAGGCAGUGCGUGAGGUUGUCGCGGCACACCGUGCUGCCAUCCUCUGCCUCCAAGAGACGAAAUUAGAUGCUUGGACCCCAGAUCUCGUGCGCGACAUCGGUGGUGGCACCCUGCUCGGCUGCGCCGUGAUACCAGCCAUUGGUACACGAGGAGGCGCAGCCAUUUUUUGG
rnacentral:rRNA from 1 species